UACGGGAGGCAGCAGUGGGGAAUAUUGCACAAUGGGCGCAAGCCUGAUGCAGCCAUGCCGCGUGUAUGAAGAAGGCCUUCGGGUUGUAAAGUACUUUCAGUCGUGAGGAAGGUGUUAAGGUUAAUAACCUUAGCAAUUGACGUUAGCGACAGAAGAAGCACCGGCUAACUCCGUGCCAGCAGCCGCGGUAAUACGGAGGGUGCGAGCGUUAAUCGGAAUUACUGGGCGUAAAGGGCACGCAGGCGGUUAAUUAAGUUGGAUGUGAAAUCCCCGGGCUUAACCUGGGAAUGGCAUUCAGGACUGGUUAGCUAGAGUCUUGUAGAGGGGGUAGAAUUCCAUGUGUAGCGGUGAAAUGCGUAGAGAUGUGGAGGAAUACCGGUGGCGAAGGCGGCCCCUGGCAAAGGACUGACGCUCAUGUGCGAAAGCGUGGGGAGCAAACGAGGAUUAGAUACC
rnacentral:rRNA from 1 species